rfam:Ipomoea nil DNA, scaffold: scaffold2735, cultivar: Tokyo-kokei standard.
UUGAGCCACAUGCAGGGAAACUUGCACGUGUGGUUCUGGCCGGGCUUCCUGAGGUAUCUAAUAACCUUGC